rnacentral:rRNA from 1 species
CUACGGGGGGCUGCAGUGAGGAAUAUUGCGCAAUGGACGAAAGUCUGACGCAGCCAUGCCGCGUGCAGGAUGACGGCCCUAUGGGCUGUAAACUGCUUUUGUAUGGGAAUAAACCCUUCUACGUGUAGAAGGCUGAAGGUACCAUAAGAAUAAGCACCGGCUAACUCCGUGCCAGCAGCCGCGGUAAUACGGAGGGUGCAAGCGUUAUCGGGAUUUAUUGGGUUUAAAGGGUCCGUAGGCGGGCCGAUAAGUCAGUGGUGAAAGCCCAUAGCUCAACUAUGGAACUGCCAUUGAUACUGUCGGUCUUGAGUAUAUGUGAUGUUGGCGGAAUGUGUAGUGUAGCGGUGAGAUGCUUAGAUAUUACACAGAACACCGAUUGCGAAGGCAGCUGACAAAUAUAUAACUGACGCUGAGGGACGAAAGUGUGGGGAUCAAACAGGAUUAGAUACCCCUGUAGUC